CCAAAACUCAGAUAAAUAUUUGAGCCACCAAAAAAAUACGAGAACAGAUCGGUCUGAAUCGUUAAGAACUGGAGCUAACAUCAUAGAGGUACAUCCUUCCAAGAAUCCAUCAAAACAACAUGCUGAACAACUUCAAGAACUCUCUUCAAAAGACCACACUUUCCUGAAAUAAAUAAAAGAUGCCAAUAUUAAAAUAAAUCAGUUACAUGUAUUGUUAAAUAUUUUAAUACUAGCUGUAAAUGCUACUGCCUUUGAUGUUUGCUUCCUACAUGUAUAUCAUAAUGAAAUAUUGACAAGAUAAUAGCUAAUGUUU